rnacentral:lncRNA from 1 species
GGGGAAUCUUAAUGCUGCUGUGUUGUAGGUAACUACUACUUGCUGUGAACACCACCACCUCCUCUUCCACUGAGAGUCAUGGAGCCAGGCUGGCAGUCAAUGUUGUGAACCUGAAAAGGGGCCCCUAGUGCACAGAGACCAUGCUCAGUGGCCUUAUCAGCACUGUCACGAAGAGGAGACAACCAACCAAACCCAUGUGAUCUUUCAAGAAUGAACAGAUGAAGGUUUCUAAGAAGUUCCCCAAAUUAUUCCUUUAAAAGAACGCCUCUGCAGUCUUUCCUGUGUUUGCUGUGAGACAGCAGCUGUGUAGCUGUCAGCAAUUGCUGCAGAGAUGCAAGAUUGUAAGAGGUGGAUCAAUAUUUUUUUUCAAUAUGACUUACCCACAGCUGUUCGCAUAUUUGGUUUCUUUGAACAUUCUUUCCACUGAACUUAACCAGGGGAGGAGUUUCUAGAAUCAUAAUGUGACAUGCAGAAAAAUUAACAGUAAAAGUUUUAAAUUUAAAAGUGACCUAAAUAGUUCUUGGGUUAACAGAGAAAUCAAAAUUGCAGUAAUAGAAAUGAGUAUUACUCAUUUUCUAAUGAGUAAUAGACUCAUUAGAAAAUAACCAACAAUGAGAAUACACAUAUCAAACUUAUGCCAAUGUUGUUCUUGAGAAAUGUCACUGCUCUGAAUAUUUUCAGAAAUAAACAAUAAAAAUGAAGGAGAAUUAAACUGAGAAAUGCAAGCAGCCAGAAAAAAAAAAAAAAAAACUGAAGAAAAUAAGAAGAAAUUUUUGAGGGUUGAUACAACAUUACAAUGCCUAAAGGUCAGACAUUUCUAAAUGGAGUCUUCUGUGGACACCUUUGAGCACUGAAUGACAGAUGGCAUAGAGUGAUGGAUAAAGAAAUGGACCCAGAUAGGAGAUCUGGAUUCUAACCCUUCCUCCCUCGCUAUGUGACCCAAUUUAAGGUACGUUCUCUCCUUAGGCUCAGUUUGUUUGUUUGUUUGUUUUUGUUUUUUUAUCCUUUAAUGGGAAAUACUGGAAAAAAAAAAACCAACAACGAACAAUAGGGAUUUCUACUUGCUUCAUAGACUGGCUGUGUCAAGAAAGGUAAUCUACAUUAAGGUAUUUUGUGCAUUUAAGAUAGGAGAGAUUACUUCAGUAAUUUUACUGUCUCCCUUUCAAUUGAAAAAAAUGCAGCUAUAAGUAAGUGUUUCCCUCAGUGUUGGGUUCCCAGAUACAUUCUGCAGAUAUUGAACAGCUUCUACUCUUUUUAGGGACAUGCCAUUCUAGGAUAACUGCAUCAGUGUGAGGAUUAGGAAGGGCAUGAUCAACAACUGAAUCUUAAACCAUGGCUGACUUCCAAAGGCCAUUGCUUCGCCUUUGAUAGGACAGUGACUCAACCUCCAGGGCUGAGUGAUGCCUGAUGGCCGUGGAGUGAUCUCUAUUUUCCUCUCUAUAUACAUCCACACAUUUUUUUCUGUCUCU